rnacentral:rRNA from 1 species
GACGAACGCUGGCGGCGUGCCUAAUACAUGCAAGUCGAACGCCCCGCAAGGGGAGUGGCAGACGGGUGAGUAACGCGUGGGAACAUACCCUUUCCUGCGGAAUAGCUCUGGGAAACUGGAAUUAAUACCGCAUACGCCCUACGGGGGAAAGAUUUAUCGGGGAAGGAUUGGCCCGCGUUGGAUUAGCUAGUUGGUGGGGUAAAGGCCUACCAAGGCGACGAUCCAUAGCUGGUCUGAGAGGAUGAUCAGCCACAUUGGGACUGAGACACGGCCCAAACUCCUACGGGAGGCAGCAGUGGGGAAUAUUGGACAAUGGGCGCAAGCCUGAUCCAGCCAUGCCGCGUGAGUGAUGAAGGCCUUAGGGUUGUAAAGCUCUUUCACCGAUGAAGAUAAUGACGGUAGUCGGAGAAGAAGCCCCGGCUAACUUCGUGCCAGCAGCCGCCGUAAUAC